UUUUUACAAUAUCCUCCCAUUGCUAAAGGGCAUUUGCUUUUGAAUUUUCAUGGAACAAAUAAAUUGAUUUG